UACGUAGGGUGCAAGCGUUGUCCGGAAUUAUUGGGCGUAAAGAGCUUGUAGGCGGUUUGUCGCGUCUGCUGUGAAAUUUCGGGGCUCAACCCCGAACUUGCAGUGGGUACGGGCAGACUAGAGUGUGGUAGGGGAGACUGGAAUUCCUGGUGUAGCGGUGAAAUGCGCAGGAUAUCAGGAGGAACACCGAUGGCGAAGGCAGGUCUCUGGGCCAUAACUGACGCUGAGGAGCGAAAGCGUAGGGAGCGAACAGG
rnacentral:rRNA from 1 species